ensembl:lncRNA
UAGCACUCGUUUGCCCGGUGACUUCAUUUAGAUGAGGAUUCUCUUGGGAUAAAAUGGAGAGAGGAAACAAGAGAAAGAAAGACAGAUUGUAGUGAAGUCUGGUCUACUGAACAGGAUCAACGCUCACAGCUCAGACUGAAAGUUAACUAAAAAAAAAAACAGAAGACAAGAACUGUCUGAUAUCUGCUCCCUUGUCUCGGGAAGAAACUGCUGGGAAGGAGGGGAGGAAGAAACAGAGGAAAUGUGUGAUAGCUUCCGCACAUCCUCCCAAGACAGUACUUCCACUAGGAAAAAGUAGAAGAAAAAUGCACGUGUAUUGCCUGUUCAGAUGAUCCACUGGUGAGCAAGUGAUGUAAUGCUAAAUUUCUCCAAAUCUGUUCAGAUGAAGAAACAAACUCAGAUACAUCUUGGAGUGAGUAAGGGUGAGUACUUGUUUUUAACAUAAUUUACUUAUUUUAGAUUUCCCACCCAGGAAACUAGACUAAAUAUCUUAUGUCGUUUUGCUUAUCUAGUAAAUUCAUCGUAAUUUAAGAAUUUUUUUAGAUAUAUUUUGACUAGAAACAAGACAAAAAGACUAUA